UUACGGCCAUAUCACGUGGAAACACCGGUUCCCGUAUGUCAAGCAACAUCGAGCCUGGUCAGUAACUACAUGGGUGACCGCAUGGGAAUACUAAGUGUUGUAAG